GUAAUAAAUGCCUGCGCAGCAGCACCUGUUCUAGGUGCUGGGGCUUGGUGACAGAUAGCCCAGGGACAGCAGCACUGCACGAGACUGCACUGGGGCUCCCUGAGUAGCCUUUUCCUUCAGGGCUUUGGGAAGCACCUAGAACGGCUGGUCAGCGUGCAGGGUCAUUCUAUUGGCUUCUUCUGUUGUGAAGCCUGAUGUGACCAUGAAGACCAAACUGAUUAGUCAGGAUGAUAUGGAGAGUCCAGGGCCAUGCCAGGCUGAGGUAGCCUCCCCCAGGCUUGGAAGCAUCAGCUCCAUGCUCCUAUCUAGAGUUAAAUGUCUACUUCAGCCCCACAAGCUAGGGGUGCAUUUGGCCAGUAUUGAGCAGGGAGCAUCCUGCCUGGAGCAUGACUCAUGCAAGCCUGGCAGCUGCCCCUGGAAGAAGCUGCUGAUUGCCCUAGGAAUAAUGAUCACCAUUUCACUAAUGGUCCUGCUACUCCUCUGGCAUUACAAGUGCAUCAUCAUUGACCGGUACUGUGAGGGGAACAGUGAGGUGCUGCCCCCCUUAUUCAAAAUUUUCCAGAGAAAGGGGAUAUGAAACUAGGUUGGGGCCUGCUCCCAGAGAGACCACACCCCUGCCUGCAAGAAGGAUGAGGUGGACCUCUGCUGAGCAGUUGUGACCAGGACUCUCCUGGGGACAGCAGCCUUAACCAGGAAUGUGGCUCCUGAGUGAAUGGAUCCAUUUGCCUGGACAAAUUUGGCAAGCUUGCUUUGGCAGGCUCUUGUUCUAGUAACUGCAUAACCUUCUCCCACGCAUGUACUUGUUUUCCCCAGAACCUAGUGAAUGUAGCAUUAAUAACCCAUCUCUGAAGUGAUGUAACAUUUUGAUUCACACUAAAUUUAAUGACCCUUCCAAGCUGUAGUUCUGACUGAAUGGCAUGGGGGGGCAUCCCUCUUGCUCGAGGGGCACAUCUUUACCCAUUCUGGGGCCUGGCAUGCUGGGAUCACAUGGUCUAGGGCUUCUCUGCUUACUAGGGUCCAAGUGGCUUGUGGUCUGUCACAGGCUUGCCCUUUUCAAGGCCCUGAAAAGAUCUUGUACACCACUCACAAGCCCCUAUAUUUGCCCAAUAGUCUAGGCUGGAUUUCCCACUGGCUCUGUGUCA